rnacentral:rRNA from 1 species
CUACGUGCCAGCAGCCGCGGUAAUACGGAAGGUCCAGGCGUUAUCCGGAUUUACUGGGUGUAAAGGGAGCGUAGACGGAAUGGCAAGUCUGAAGUGAAAUACCCGGGCUCAACCUGGGAACUGCUUUGGAAACUGUUGUUCUAGAGUGUUGGAGAGGUAAGUGGAAUUCCUGGUGUAGCGGUGAAAUGCGUAGAUAUCAGGAAGAACACCGGAGGCGAAGGCGGCUUACUGGACAAUAACUGACGUUGAGGCUCGAAAGCGUGGGGAUCAAACAGGAUUAGAUACCCUGGUAGUCCGCACGGUAAACGAUGGAUGCCCGCCGUUGGCGCCCUGCGCCUGCGGCCAAGCGAAAGCAUUAAGCAUCCCACCUGGGGAGUACGCCGGCAACGGUGAAACUCAAAGGAAUUGACGGGGGCCCGCACAAGCGGAGGAACAUGUGGUUUAAUUCGAUGAUACGCGAGGAACCUUACCCGGGCUUGAAUUGCAGAGGAAUUAUUUAGAGAUA